rnacentral:rRNA from 1 species
GAUGAACGCUGGCGGCGUGCUUAACACAUGCAAGUCGAACGGAAAGGCCCAAGCUUGCUUGGGUACUCGAGUGGCGAACGGGUGAGUAACACGUGGGUGAUCUGCCCUGCACUUCGGGAUAAGCCUGGGAAACUGGGUCUAAUACCGGAUAGGACCACAUUUUGGAUGGUGUGGUGGAAAGUUUUUCGGUGUGGGAUGAGCUCGCGGCCUAUCAGCUUGUUGGUGGGGUAAUGGCCUACCAAGGCGUCGACGGGUAGCCGGCCUGAGAGGGUGUACGGCCACAUUGGGACUGAGAUACGGCCCAGACUCCUACGGGAGGCAGCAGGGGGGAAUAUUGCACAAUGGGCGGAAGCCUGAAGGAGCGACGCCGCGUGGGGGGAGACGGCCUUCGGGUUGUAAACUUCUUUCGCUAGGGAAGAAGCGGAAGUGACGGUACCUGGAGAAGAAGCACCGGCUAACUACGUG